GUGAUGUAUGUGUGCAUAUGUGAUGAUUCGCGAGACGGCAUAAAGUGUUUUGUUUGGAAGAAGGUUUCGUGCUGAAAUUUAAAAUUAGUGCGAUUCCCUGUGCAAUAUACCGGUUUUGUGGCAAUUACAGUGUUUAUUUAGUUCAUUUUACUGCAGUGCAAGUUUUUUGCAAGAUAUAUCCGUGAUAAACCAAACGUAUAAGGAAAGAAGAAAGCAGUGAGACAACAGGGUCACAGCAAAAUGCAAUAGCUGGAUAAACCAGAUAAGUAUAAGAAAUUAUCAUUUAAAACAGUGGAAGAUGUUCGGAACAGGAAUUGUUAAAAGAUUAAUUAGUUAUGCUUUAUCGUCGUAAUGUUUCAGAUUCUUCUACAGCGGAUAUUUGAUGGCAAAAAGCGAGUGAAAAAAGAAUGCAACUAUGGACGGACGGCAUAAACCAACUCGAUUAAACUACUAUACAUACCCGUCGUUAUUGUUGUGCCAACAAUUAUAAGGGAAAUUAUACUGUGAAGCGUAUGCUGCACAAAAUUGUCCCGGUCUGCCAACCAUUUCCUCGCGCCCUUCUGAUUCGAUUGCUCAUGAUCAGACUGUGCAAUUUUAAAAUGCAUACAUAACGGAAUGCAGCUUACUUUUUGACAACGAUUUUUUUCCAAGUUUCAUAAGACGUUCAAGUGCUAUCGCUAUGAGCUGAAAUUUUAAUAUAAUAGACAUAUGA